rnacentral:rRNA from 1 species
CGGUAAUACGGAGGGUGCGAGCGUUAAUCGGAAUUACUGGGCGUAAAGACGCAUGCAGGUGGUUUGUUAAGUCAGAUGUGAAAGACCCGGGGCGUCAACCUCGGAAUAGCAUUUGUAAACUAGGCAGACUAGAGUACUGUAGAGGGGGGUAGGAAUUUCAGGUGUAGCGGUGAAAUGCGUAGAGAUCUGAAGGAAUACCGGUGGCGAAGGCGGCCCCCUCGGACAGAUACUGACACUCAGAUGCGAAAGCGUGGGGAGCAAACAGGAUUAGAUACCCUGGUAG